rnacentral:rRNA from 1 species
GCUGGCGGCGUGCUACACAUGCAAGUCGAGCGCGAAUGGAGCAAUCCUAGUAGAGCGGCGCACGGGUGCGUAACACGUGGAUAUCUUGCCUAAAAGCCCGGAAUAACCUGCCGAAAGGCAAGCUAAUACCGGAUAAGCCUACGGGGUCUUCGGACCUUGGAGGAAAAGGUGGCUCUGUAUACAAGCUAUCACUUUUAGAUGAGUCCGCGGCCCAUCAGCUAGUUGGCGGGGUAAUGGCCCACCAAGGCUACGACGGGUAGCUGGUCUGAGAGGACGAUCAGCCACACUGGAACUGAGACACGGUCCAGACUCCUACGGGAGGCAGCAGUGGGGAAUUUUGCACAAUGGGCGAAAGCCUGAUGCAGCAACGCCGCGUGUGUGAUGAAGGUCUUCGGAUCGUAAAGCACUUUCGACCGGGAAGAAAACCCGUUGGCUAACAUCCAACGGCUUGACUGUACCGGGAGAAGAAGCACCGGCUAACUCUGUGCCAGCAGCCGCGGUAAUACAGAGGGUGCAAGCGUUGUUCGGAAUUAUUGGGCGUAAAGCGCGUGUAGGCGGCUUUGCAAGUCGGGUGUGAAAGCCCUCAGCUCAACUGAGGAAGUGCGCCCGAAACUGCAGAGCUUGAGUACCGGAGAGGAUGGCGGAAUUCCCAAGUAGAGGUGAAAUCGUAGAUUGGGGGAGGAACACCCGUGUGGGCCGAAAGGGCGGCCAUCUGGGACGGAUACUGACGCUGAGACGCGAAAGCGUGGGU